rnacentral:tRNA from 1 species
AGGCUUUAGCUUAAUUAAAGCAUCUGACUUGCACUCAGAAGAUACAGGUUUAUGUCCUGUUAGUCUUA